UACGAAGGGGGCUAGCGUUGCUCGGAAUUACUGGGCGUAAAGCGCACGUAGGCGGCUUUCUAAGUCGGGGGUGAAAUCCUGGAGCUCAACUCCAGAACUGCCUUCGAUACUGGAGAGCUCGAGUCCGGGAGAGGUGAGUGGAACUGCGAGUGUAGAGGUGAAAUUCGUAGAUAUUCGCAAGAACACCCGUGGCGAAAGCGCCUUGCUGGGCCAGUACUGACACUGAGGAACGAAAGCCAGGGGAGCGAAAGGG
rnacentral:rRNA from 1 species